AUGGGAAAGAUUUCCCCCUGACGAGGAGGGAGUCUCCCGACCCGUUCUUUCCCUCCUGGACGUGCCAGGCAAACAGCCCAAGCAGAAGAACAUCAGCAAGGGGGACCAAGGAAGAUGUGUCUGCUCACCACGGGGCUUGCUGUGGAUGUCAUGAAGAGGCUUGGCAGCGUUGAAGACAAUAAAGCAUGCUUUCCUGGAAGAAACAAUGCUGGAUUAAGGACUAAAACAUGGUCACUUUUUUCACCACGAGGAAGACCUGUCCUUGUUAAAAAUGUACUGGCUUCAGACACAUGGAAGAGAGUCUGAGAAUGUUUUGAGUAGGAAUGUUGCUGGAGAUAAAUUAUGGGCUAAGAAAUCAGCUGACUGAGUCGACCGUAUAGAUUUUCCCAGGUCACAUUACUUUUCCAUUUGUAUUCUCAAUCGCUUUUGAACACCCUUCAUGCAAGUCAGCAUAUCAAAAGAUGAUUUUAUACAAGGAUUACCGAUUUCAAAUAAAUAAAGAACCAAAAGAAAUAGAUUUCAAUUGCAUCCAGACUGGUUGGAGAUAAAAUGAGGAGUGCUACAACUCGCUGGGCCAGCAC
rnacentral:lncRNA from 1 species